ACCCGCUGAACUUAAGCAUAUCAAUAAGCGGAGGAAAAGAAACCAACAGGGAUUGCCCUAGUAACGGCGAGUGAAGCGGCAACAGCUCAAAUUUGAAAUCUGGCGCUUGCGCCCGAGUUGUAAUUUGUAGAGGAUGCUUUUGGCGCGGUGCCUUCCGAGUUCCCUGGAACGGGACGCCAUAGAGGGUGAGAGCCCCGUACGGUUGGACACUAAGCCUCUGUAAAGCUCCUUCGACGAGUCGAGUAGUUUGGGAAUGCUGCUCUAAAUGGGAGGUAUAUUUCUUCUAAAGCUAAAUACCGGCCAGAGACCGAUAGCGCACAAGUAGAGUGAUCGAAAGAUGAAAAGCACUUUGAAAAGAGGGUUAAAUAGCACGUGAAAUUGUUGAAAGGGAAGGGUUUGUGACCAGACUUGUGCCUGGCGGAUCAUCCGGUGUUCUCACCGGUGCACUUCGCCUGGUUCAGGCCAGCAUCGGUUUCCGUAGGGGGAUAAAGGCUGGGGGAAUGUAGCUCUCUUCGGGGAGUGUUAUAGCCCACUGCGUAAUACCCUUAUGGGGACCGAGGUUCGCGCUUCUGCAAGGAUGCUGGCGUAAUGGUCAUCAACCACCCGUCUUGAAACACGGACCAAGGAGUCGAACAUUUGUGCGAGUGUUUGGGUGUUAAACCCUCACGCGUAAUGAAAGUGAACGGAGGUGAGAGCCUUUUUGGUGCAUCAUCGACCGAUCCUGAUGUCUUCGGAUGGAUUUGAGUAAGAGCAUAAAUGUCCGGACCCGAAAGAUGGUGAACUAUGCGUGGAUAGGGUGAAGCCAGAGGAAACUCUGGUGGAGGCUCGCAGCGGUUCUGACGUGCAAAUCGAUCGUCAAAUCUGCGCAUGGGGGCGAAAGACUAAUCGAACCAUCUAGUAGCUGGUUACCGCCGAAGUUUCCCUCAGGA
rnacentral:rRNA from 1 species